rnacentral:rRNA from 1 species
AGUGAACGCUGGCGGUAGGCCUAACACAUGCAAGUCGAACGGCCGCACAGUAAGAGCUUGCUCUUACGGGUGGCGAGUGGCGGACGGGUGGGGAAUACAUCGGAAUCUACUUUUUCGUGGGGGAUCACGUAGGGAAUAUUACGCUAAUACCGCAUACGACCUACGGGUGAAAGCAGGGGAUCUUCGGAACUUGCGCGAUUGAAUGAGCCGAUGUCGGAUUAGCUAGUUGGCGGGGUACUGGCCCACCAAGGCGACGAUCCGUAGCUGGUCUGAGAGCAUGAUCAGCCACACUGGAACUGAGACACGGUCCAGACUCCGACAGGAGGCAGCAGUGGAGAAUAUUGGGCAAUGGAGGCGAGCCUAAUCCAGCCAUACCGCGUGAGUGAAGAAGGCCUUCGGGUGGGAGAGCGCUGUUGGUGGGAAAGAAGAACAGCAGGUUAAUACCCCGCUGUACUGACGGUACCGAAAGAAUAAGCAUCGGCUAACUUCGUG